rnacentral:rRNA from 1 species
GACGAACGCUGGCGGCGUGCUUAACACAUGCAAGUCGAACGGAAAGGCCCCCACUUUUUUGGUGGGGGUGCUCGAGUGGCGAACGGGUGAGUAACACGUGGGUGAUCUGCCCUGUACUUCGGGAUAAGCUUGGGAAACUGGGUCUAAUACCGGAUAGGACCAUGGUUUAGUGUCUCAUGGUGGAAAAAUUAUUGUUUUGGUGCAGGAUGAGCUCGCGGCCUAUCAGCUUGUUGGUGGGGUAAUGGCCUACCAAGGCGUCGACGGGUAGCCGGCCUGAGAGGGUGGACGGCCACAUUGGGACUGAGAUACGGCCCAGACUCCUACGGGAGGCAGCAGUGGGGAAUAUUGCACAAUGGGUGCAAGCCUGAUGCAGCGACGCCGCGUGGGGGAUGACGGCCUUCGGGUUGUAAACUCCUUUCGUUAGGGACGAAGCCGCACCUUUUUUGGGUGUGGUGACGGUACCUUUGUUAAGAAGCACCGGCUAACUACGUG